rnacentral:lncRNA from 1 species
AUGACUGACAGAUUCCAGGAGCAAAGUGGGAAGGUGGGAUGGAGGAUGCGACUGGGACACAAACCUCCUCAUGGUUUCCUUCCAGGUAACACCAAAGCAAUGGAUUACUGUCUCCCUAGCACCUGCGACAACGUCUGCCACAGACACAACCAACGUUGGGGUCAACCCAGGACUCACAGCCUGAGACGUCCGGCAGCCCAAUUCUCUUGCAUUCUGGAGGUCCCAGGUCUUGGAACCCUAUCAAGGCAGACGUGAUCCACCAGGUGCUAGAGGAUCUGGGGUCCUUUUCCAAGGGACAUUCUGCACAUUGUCUGGGUUCCUCUUGCUCUUUAUAAACACUUUUGGCCAAAGAACAGGGCGAGCUCAAAGCUGGUUUCCCAGGGCCGUCACUAGCACACUUAAUCCAAGGUAUUGCCCUACAUCUCGACCCCUGACCCCAGCUACUGGACGUGAUAGUCCACGCAGGCCUUUCUGAAGAGGGGCUGUUUGUGUUGAGAUUUGAAGGAAUGAGUCAAGUGAUGAUGGAGAGAACAUUCCAGAGGAGGACGGGAGUGAACUUGGUGAGUCUGAGGAACAGAAAGGCUAGUGCCGUGAGUGUGGAAAAAGAAGGUUUGCAUGGAAAAGCUUGAGCCACAACUCUGGUCCCCAAGAAGGGGUCUAAAAGGCUGUACUCCUGGUCGAUCACCGCCUCCAGCUGUAACGUGAUGCUUUUCUGGUCUCCAAGGCAGCAGGGAUGGGGAAGGAAGAGAAUGGGUGUCUGCCAUCGUGGCUGGGGGGUUCUGGCAGCAGGGGGCCAGGCCAUGGGGCCCUGGUGCUUGACUGCAGUUUGGUGGGUUCACUACUCUUAAAAAUGGCAGGAUGGAGCCAUGAGUCCUUAGAGCUAAGUCCCAUGUGAACAGUCCCUGUGGAGGCACCCUAGCUUAGACAGCCACCUCCAUCCCCUUCUGAGAGCCCUGCUAAGGGGAAAGUGCUGCAGCCCAGGG